rnacentral:rRNA from 1 species
UUUGUCUACGGGGGGCAGCAGUGAGGAAUAUUGGUCAAUGGCCGAGAGGCUGAACCAGCCAAGUCGCGUGAGGGAUGACGGCCCUACGGGUUGUAAACCUCUUUUGUCGGGGAGCAAGACCCGCCUCGUGCAGGCGGAGCGAGAGUACCCGAAGAAAAAGCAUCGGCUAACUCCGUGCCAGCAGCCGCGGUAAUACGGAGGAUGCGAGCGUUAUCCGGAAUGAUUGGGCGUAAAGGGUGCGUAGGCGGCCUGCUAAGUCUGGAGUGAAAGGUACCGGCUCAACCGGUACAGGCUCUGGAAACUGG